UUAGACAAGAAAGCAGUACUGACGAAGUAAAAUAGGAAAAGAGAGAACAAGAAAGCAGUAUUGAAGAAGUAAAAUAAGAAAAGAGAGAACAAUGACCUAUAGUAUACUAUGGGGAAAAUAUAUAGUGAGGGUUGACAUCAGCACCUAUUCGAUGAGCAACUGUACGAGGCGAAUAAUUAAUUUAAAUGGAAAAACAUUAGCAGAUGAUGGUACUCCAGCACAACAGUCACGCCUUUAGUUUUCCACCCCUGAGUUCGAUACCUGUCAUGCCCGCCUACAGAAAUUUUUUGAUGUUUUCAUCAGUGUUUUAAAAGGCGUUUUCGGGGCGAGCUCUGCGGCGGGGCGUACCAAAAAUGCCCCGGGGCGAUGGGUCGGGGCGAAAGUCUCCAAAGGCGUACGCCCGGGCGUUUGGGGUGAAUUUUUUUUGUUGGGGCGUAAGCCUAGAAAACUUUUUCAAACUAAAACGAAAUUUGUUAAAUAAAUCCUUAAUAUAAUGCUCAAAUUCUCAAAAGUCAACAUGUAAUUAUUCAAAUAUUUUAAAAAGGAACUGAAACAUUAAAUUUAAAAGUCAAGAUCUUUUUUUUAUUGCUAGAAUGCCUAAUAUAUAUUCUUUUCCAAUUAUUUAUCUUGUCUUCUACUAUUUCAAAAAAGUAACGAGCAGUCACUUGUACUUGUAAAUAGCAUAUAAUAGAUUAUUCUAAUUAGUUUUUUUGUGGGGGUGGAGUAUAUAUAUAUAUAUCACUUAUUUAUAAUGUUCUUCAAUUUUUUAUGCUAUUUCACCUAUUUAAAAGUAUUUAUUAUAAUUAUAUCAUUUUAUAAAAUACUAAAAAUUAAAACCCCACGGGACUUACGCCUCACUGAAGCAGACAUAAAACGCUCCGCCUUACGCCCUCGCCUUUUAAAACACUGAUUUUCAUUGACUUAAUUAGUUAACUAUGGUACCGAUUUUCUAAAUUAAUUGAUGUUUUAUCCAUAGAUACUUAUAACUUUCUCCCCUGAUUAAAUGGUUUAUAAUUACUACGAGCACUAAUAAACAAGGAGUACAAUUUUAUUCAAGAUAAUGUCCAGCAUAUAAAACCAAAAGGAAAAGUUUAAAAACAAAUUAACUUAAUUGAGGGGAGGUUCGAUCCCACGCGGCUAGCGUGGUGUAACUUCGACCAAACCAUCGGACUAAUCUCUCCAUUAUAUCUUUUAUGCUCGCUUCGUUCAAUUUAGGUGCAUCUAUUUGACUGAGCACGACAUUUAAGAAAUAGUGAAGACUUUUGAAACUUGUAAUUCAAAAUAAGUUUUGAAUAUUUGUGUAGUUGUAAAUCAUUUCACAAAGUAAAUCUAUUUCCAAAUAAAGAAAGAGAUCAUUCAUUUUGACACGAAUUAAAAAGGAAAUAGAUUCACAUAAAUUAAAAGAGAGAGUAUCAAAUAUUAAUAUAUAGUGAAUUUUUGGGAUUGAAGAUAUUCCUUGGAAUCAACGGUACAGAAUCCCUAAACGGUCAAAAAACCUCAAACAAUACAAAUCCUCAACCCUCAACGAAUUUGAAUUUGGACUCAAACACCAUCAACAUGCCGAAAAAGGGGAAGCAGAACCUGAAAAAGCCCUCUGUAAGAAAGCGGGCCCCGUCAAACGUAAAAAGCUGAAUAAGCUACUAACAGAGGAGGCGGGUCCCAUUGUUAAAACCAGCAGUUCAUACAUAUCCAGAGUUACUGACAGCGGUUCUGACGGCGAUUCCGAUGGCGGGGAUGAGUCUGUGAGUUUUAGUGACUUCUCUGACUCUGAGGAUCAACAAGGAGAUGCGGAAAAGACUGAUAGUCAAGAUGCAAAUUGCUCCGAUAGAGACCAUGCAAUUGGUGAUACGACAUUAUAGUCCGACGGUGAAAAGGUGUAUUCUUCUGAAACUCAUAACGAAGGUAGAGAUGGCGAGGAGGAUAGAGAUGUCCUUCAAGAUAUUGCCGCAGUGGUUGAUAUCAAUAAACCUUACAUUGAAGAACUUUUUAAGGUAAUUGACACUCCCAGUUACGGAUUUAGAACCCAUCUAAAUGAAGUAGAGCAUUUUAAACUAAAGAUCACCUAGAGAUGCUCGCUGGGUAGGGUUGACAAAUUCAAAGAAGCGUUAAAGUAAUUUAAUAUUUAUAAAGAUUUCGAGGAUAGUUCGUUUAGGAAAUUUCUUCAAAUGUCACAAGGUUGGACCUUCAAUGAACAGUUAGUUGGUAAUAUUAUUCUCCCUCGAUUAAUUUGCGCAAAGAAGAAUGAAUUGUGGAUACUUUUCCGUGGAAAGCCCCUCUAUUUUGGAUUGACAGAGUUUGUGCUUAUGACUGGGCUUAAAUGCGGUACAAAACCCAGUGAUGCUGAAAUUGACAAAAUCAUACACACUAGUGGCACUGAAAAACUCUUUGCAAAGGUAUGUCAUGGAAAAAGUAAAUUUAUAGGCGAGAAACUAGAAAAGAGGAUAGAUAGCACUUUUUUGAAUCGUGAUGUGAAGCUAAAGAUGAGUUUGUUGUGGUUUGUGCAUAAAAUCCUGAUGGUUGCCGACAAAAACAAUAAGGUCAACGAAAAUUGGGUUAGGAUGGCCGACAGUCUAGAAUUUUUCCAGCCUUACCCAUGGGGUCGUGAAAGCUUAUCCUGUUUAAUGAAGACUCUGCAAAGGGACAUUCACCGGGUAUAUCAUGAAUAGGUUCCGGACAAAUGUAAAUACAGAUACGUGCAGCUGUUUGGUUUCACAUAUGCAUUCAUGGCAUACAUUUCCUCUGUUUUAUCCAAUUCCAGCUUUUUCAUACUACAUAUAUAUAUAUAUAUAUAUUAUGAUAGGCAGUUCAAUUAUCAAAACAGAUGAAAUGGGCCUGCCGAGGAUGCUACAAUGGCAGCAUAGUAUAACACUUGCUCAGUGGCAAGAUUGAUCCAUUUGCUUAUGAUGAUGCAGAUGUAGGAAAAAUAAAUACUCGUGCAGUUUGGCAAGUUUUGUUUGAUCAUACGCUGCACUGCAUUUUAUAUAUUUAUUCACAUGCAGACUAAAUCCACUGUACAACCUUUCCUUGUGCCUACUCACCGCAAGUUGGAUCAGAAAUUCAUGAAGGAAUUUGUUGAAAUUGAGGAUGACGAUGUGGAUGAAAGAAUUGACAGACUAAAAGCGAAGUUGGAAGGGCAACAACAAUAAAUUGCGCUAUCGCUGGAAGGAUUGAUCAUGAACUACCGGCUACACCUCGUAAUGAUACAGGAAUGUAUGAAGCUGAUCAAGAUAGAGAAGGUGCAAGGGUUCGGGGGGGUGGCCAUGGGACAUGUGGUGUGGAAGUUGGUACAUACUGUGGUGGAGGAACAUGUCCGCGUUGUGGAUGUGACCCGGAGCUGCAAAAGAAUUUGUUAGCAAGGAUGGAGCAACUUGAACAGGCUAGCUUGUGGGACUGGAAGUAGACUUGGAGGGCCGACUAAUAUAAUUUAAAAUAGCCUCAAGAAGCCAAGUGACAGCAUCAAACACAGCAUCGAUGCACUAGUUUCCAGCGUUAUAGUUGACAGGAGGGAAGAAGGAAUAAGUGAGAUAUUAGGAGCCAGCAAGUUUACAGAAGAUGAUCUCGUUCAGAAUAUAAAAAUGACAGUGGAAAAUUAAAUAAAAAGGGCAUCGAGAAAAUGGAGGAGCCUUGGCAGGAAAUGUAAAAAUCUAUUAAAGAGAGCAUGCAACAUCAUGUUGACAACGAUCAGAAGUAUCAUCUAGUAAUGUAAUGUAGAAGUAAGAUUCCGUUGCAUGAUCCAUCCAAUCAUGUCAUGAAUCACUACGUUAUGUGUGGCUCAUCUAGUAAUGUAGUAGUAUGAGUCCACUUAUUGAUCCAUCGGACCUGUUGGUCAAUGCGUUGACCACCGACUGUAUGACUCCUCGGUGGUGGAUUAGUAUGACUCCACUUAUUCAUCCAUUUUGAAAUCAUGUCAUGAAUCGCUAUGUCAUGUGAUUCUCAUCUAGUAAUGUAAUAGAUUGAGUCCACUUACUAAUGCAUCCAACUUGUUGGUCAAUGCGUUGACACCGACUGUAUGACUCCUCAGUGAUGGUGUAGUAUGACUCCACUUAUUCAUUCAUUUUGAAAUCAUGUCAUGUGUCGCUAUAUUAUGUGUUGCUCAUCUAGUAAUCUAAUAGAUUGAGUCCACUUGCUAAUCCAUCCGGCUUGUUGGUCAAUGCGUUGACACCGACUAUAUGACUCCUCAGUGGUGGUGUAGUAUGACUCCACUUAUUCAUCCAUUUCGAAAUCAUGUCAUGCAUCGCUAUGUUGUGUGUUGCUUAUCUAGUAAUGUAAUACUAAUCCAUCCGACCGUGCAAUACAUUGACAGACUGUCAGACUCCUCCAAUCAUAUAGUAGUGUGAGUCCACUUAUUUAUCCAUCUCAUCAUGUCACACGUUUCCAUUGAAUGCGUGACUCGUCUAUUAGUACUGUGAUAUGAGUCCGCUUAUUGAUCCAUCCGAGCAUGUAAUAUAUGGACAUUGGCCAUAUUACUCCUUCAGUGAUGUAGAAGUAUGAGUCCAAUUAUAGUAUGUCUCAUCAUAUGUCGUGCGUGCAGUAGGAUAUGCAUGACUGAUCUAGAAGUGUAGCAGUACAAAUCCACUUAUCGAUCCAUCUAUUCUUGUAAUAGAACUUCAAUGAUAUGUAUUACUCGUCUAACAAUGCUGCAGUCUGAUUCCAUUACAUGAUCCAUCCGACCAUGUAAUACAUUGACACUGACUGUAUGACUCCUCUAGUAAUGUAGUAGUAUGUGUGUGUCCACUUAUUCAUCCAUCUUACCAUGUAAUAGAUUCACAUAUAACUCAUGUUAGUUACAUAAUAGUAUGCAUCCGACCGUGGAAUACAUUGACAAUAAUUUGUAUCUCAUAUAGUAAUGUAGUUGGCUAUAUGGUAAUCUAUGUAGUUUGAAAUAUGGUUAUGACACAACAUUUUAGUUACUAGACUAGUAACAUUCAUUUGGUGUGUAUUAAUUUGAUACUAUACGCUACAUGUUAUUUAAUGAUAUACACAAUACUAAUAUACUAAAGGUAUGUGUAUUAGUUACCGUACCUUUUCUAGAUGGAGUAUUUUAAUGAUUUUAUUAAAAUUAGUAUUUAGUGAUUGAUUUAACUGGCAGAACAGGUUUCCUAUGUGCACUAGAACCUGUAGUAGCCAGUAAAAAGUGACCUAAUUCCGGUGGAACUAUAAAUACUUAUGCCACUAUUUUUCAUUAGCACUCAUCGACCUGCCCAAAAUUUGCAUACUUAGGUGAGAAAAUGUUCUUCUUCUCUCAUGUUUCUUCAUGAUGUAAUCGUUCUUCUUAUCUUAUUACGCUUUGAUUGUCUCAACAAUGGCCGACACUACUGAAUCUUCCUGCAAUGGACCAGAUGCAAAGAUACCUAUGGACAGUCCUUUGCAUCGCAAAAUAAAGGAUCUUAAGGAUGAUAUUGCUUCUAUCAAGUACCAAGUGAUAGCUAUGGAGACCAGGCAAUCAAGAUCUUGGACGUGUCCAGAAGAUGACCGAGACUACCUUUAAUUAAUGUAUUGAAAGAUGUUGGACCCAGUUCUUAGUUUGCUGAUCAUGUUAAUUAAUUACCACUUUCUAUUUUGGUGUACCCUAUAAUUAUGUAAUCGCAUUCCCGAUGUAUUUCGAUUUAAUAUUAGAAUUCCAGAAA